UCAGAUAGAAGGUCUCUCGCAGCGGCCUGAGUUACUGACUCAGCCCGCUAAAAAAACCGACCUCACCAGUCGGUUUUUUUUA
rnacentral:antisense_RNA from 1 species